AGAGUACUGCACUUAUGAUCUCUCCAGCUAUUUAAGUAGGCGGGGACAUUUCUUGACAAGUUGAUCGAGUAGUUCUUUGUUCUUCACAGUCAUCAGAAUUCUAUUUCUUAGAUUUUUAGCUACUAAGUUAAAAGAUAAUUGCAAAGGCUGACUGGGUCAGAGGCUGGAGAUAGAGCCUAAUUAGUAGAGUGCUUGCACAGGUGAAGCCCAGACUUCCAUACCCAGAAACACUUGGGCCAGGGGUGGUGUGUGCCUCUGGUUCUGGCAGUGGGUAUUCUACUCCAUGCUGCCCUGCUGUGACAGCAUUUUUAACCCCUUGUCAAUAAAGGGUUGAGAGGACCAUUUCAGAUGGAGUGCUUCUCCUCUGUACGAGGGCGGGUGUGUAUUUCAGUGUUCAGGCUGUAGAGUCAGGUCUCUGGACCUUGAGCUCACCUCUUGCAUGACCCUGAAUAGAAUAGACUGUAGAGUCAGGUCUCUGGACCUUGAGCUCACCUCUUGCAUGACCCUGAGUAGAAUAGACUGCUUAGUGUAGCUCUAGUACUUCAAAGUGGAAAGAGUACUACUACUCCUUACCUUGGGUCGUUAAGGACAUCACAGAUGGGGUUUUAAAGGCUUCGUUACUAAGCAAACACUGGUUAGUGUUAAAUGUGACUAUCUUUCCCUGUUAUACUUUGCAUUUUAAAAUUCUCCUUUAGGAGUUGAGUUGAUUUUUUUUUUUUUAUAACACAGUGGUUUUAGGUUGAUGGGUGUUGUGAUUGUCUGUGAAUGUCAGGUGCAUGGUGGAGUUGAUAAUUCCACUCUGGAAAAUUUAUUAUCAUUAUUGCUUGUUUGGCUCUUAGUCUGUUAUGUAUUGAAAGGAAAUAAUUGAAUUCCACAGCUUUCCCAGAGAAAUAAAGGUAGGUCAGUGACAUCUACCAGGGCUACUGGACAUGUCCUGGUGUUAGCUAUUAGAAUAUACUUCACUACUGAAUACUUUCUCUUUAAAAUAAAUGUCCUGGUGUUAGCUAUUAGAAUAUACUUCACUACUGAAUACUUUCUCUUUAAAAUAAAUAAAUAAAUAAAUAAACUAACUAACU